rnacentral:rRNA from 1 species
AGAGUUUGAUCCUGGCUCAGAUUGAACGCUGGCGGCAGGCCUAACACAUGCAAGUCGAACGGUAACAGGAAACAGCUUGCUGUUUCGCUGACGAGUGGCGGACGGGUGAGUAAUGUCUGGGAAACUGCCUGAUGGAGGGGGAUAACUACUGGAAACGGUAGCUAAUACCGCAUAACGUCGCAAGACCAAAGAGGGGGACCUUCGGGCCUCUCGCCAUCGGAUGUGCCCAGAUGGGAUUAGCUAGUAGGUGGGGUAACGGCUCACCUAGGCGACGAUCCCUAGCUGGUCUGUGAGGAUGACCAGCCACACUGGAACUGAGACACGGUCCAGACUCCUACGGGAGGCAGCAGUGGGGAAUAUUGCACAAUGGGCGCAAGCCUGAUGCAGCCAUGCCGCGUGUAUGAAGAAGGCCUUCGGGUUGUAAAGUACUUUCAGCGGGGAGGAAGGGAGUAAAGUUAA